UAGGAUGCAUCGUAGGAGGGUGACGUGAGCCAAAGUGAGCAAUGUGACCUGCGAUUAGCCUCUGCCACCAUACCAACCCAAAAAGAUGAGCGAAGGGUCUGCUAAGAAGACCUCAAGACCUCCGCUUGUGUCCAGCAGUGGAAGGGGCCAACACAUCAAAAGACUGGAAAGCACCUGGUUGUGCCCUAUGCAGUUGAUGAUACUAGAAGAAAUUGAAAAUAUAAAUGUGUACAAUUGGGAUGGGAAAGUCAACUAAUCAUCGCGGCAGGAUCUUCGUGUUGGUUGUCAUCAAUGGGCUAUGGUGACAAUCACUGUCUGAGAAGCCAGGCUUUUGCAAGGGAACAGAGGAAGAGGCACCAACCAGAAGUGAUGGUUGGGAGAAACACCUAGAUGUACCAAGUCCAUAGGGUGGGCACAACGGUUGGGGCAGAGUAUGAAGCACUUGGUGGUGAUGUCAGUGGAACUACCAUUGAGAUGGGAGGUAAGGGCGCAUGAAUCAUUGAACUGUAUCCUGUAUUUAUAUGAGUUAUACAGAUGACUAAAAUUGCUCCAGAUGGAGUGUGGCAGUCACCAUACGAAGUGUUGAUUUUAUGAGAAAAAACAUCAUAUGAAAUGGUGAUUCUCAUUGAUGAGUACCACUACACGACUCAUGCUCAACUAGAGAAACAAACAAUUUCUUUUGUUAAGCCACAUAAUUUAAAACUAUACAUAUAUAAUUUCAUAAGAAUUAAAAUCAAUACAUGAAUUUGAAGACUGAACAAAUCAAAUUGGAAUCCUCAAUGUUAGAGCAAGGAUCCCUCUCAUAAGUCAUUGAUGGACGCUCAUGGUCAUCCUCCUCCACCUUCUUGUCAUUUGCCUCCUCAUCCUUGUCCUUGUCAUUCCCUUCCUCCUCCUCCUCCGUCGUGUAACUAAACUAGAGCUUGUCUUUUGUCGUCCAUGGGGAAAUAGGCGGGGUGUUAUCAUUUGAGCCGUCAUUGCCAUCACUCUGCCAGCACUAAGAUUGUUCCUUGCUUGAGGAGUCAUUGUCUCAAGCUCGAAGCCAAUAAUGGUUACAGGGGAAGGAAUGGGGUGAGGAAAAAGUGGAGAUCUCCAGAUGGCAGAUGGUGUUAGAAAUUUAGACAUUUUUUAAUGUUUGAUUUAAUCUAGAAAAUUACACAAAAUAAAGUGGUGGCAUAUAUGUGCACGUGUGCAAAUUUAUCGCUACUCAGAUUAAAGAUAAACAUUGCAAAUACUGUAGACAUACUAAAAAUAAAAUAUAAUCAUUUAAGAUUAUACCCAGAGGAGGACCAGUGGCGAAGGCACCGGCGGCUCCAUUCGCACUAGUCGACAUAGUGCGUUGCUUGAAGUAGCGGACCACAGUCGAUGGAGGAAGACGUUCGCAGUGCAGUCCCGCGAACGUCCACCAGGAAGAAGACGAUGUAGCUGAUCUCUCGUCACCACCUGGAAGCCGAUCUGAGGUAGGAGGAAGUAGCCGAUCUCACCGAUCUGAUGUAGCAAGAAGAAGCAGAUCUGAGAUAGCGAGCAGUCACGGAAGAUGCUCCGCAAAAACCUGAUUACCCGCACACAGAGC
rnacentral:lncRNA from 1 species